rnacentral:rRNA from 1 species
UACGUAGGGGGCAAGCGUUGUCCGGAAUCACUGGGCGUAAAGGGCGCGUAGGCGGCCUGGUAAGUAGGGGGUGAAAUCCUGCGGCUUAACCGCAGGGCUGCCUUCUAAACUGUCAGGCUCGAGCACGGUAGAGGCAGAUGGAAUUCCCGGUGUAGCGGUGGAAUGCGUAGAGAUCGGGAAGAACAUCAGUGGCGAAGGCGGUCUGCUGGGCAGUGGCUGACACUGAGGCGCGACAGCGUGGGGAGCAAACAGGG